UAAAUUGAAAAUAAUAAGAAAAUUAAUUAUAAAAUAAUUAGUAUUUAGUUGCGUAUCCUUUGUUCGAUAUUACAGCUACACAUCGGCGAUGCAUUGAAUUAACGAGAUGUUCACAUCGUUCCUUUGGUAUCGAUUUCCAUGCCCGCUCUACUGUUUCCCAAAGCUGAUUAUUAUUUGUUGGAUUAGCAACAGAAACUGCCUUUUUCACAUCGCACCACAAAUCUCUAUUGGAUUGAGGUCUGGAGACUGUGCAGGCCAUUCCAUGACCUCAACCCUGUUCCUCUGAAACCACUGCUGCGCCAAUUUGCUUGUGUGCUUUGGGUCAUUGUCCUGCUGGAAGACCCAAAGUAGUGGCAUUUCUUCGCUGGCAAAAGGGAGCAUGAUUUCCUCCAUAAUUCGAACAUACACAGUACGAUCCAUGAUUUCUUUUAUCCAGUAUAUCGGUCCAAAACCAUAAAAUGAAAAACAGGCCCAAAUCAUAAUACUUGACCCUCCAUGUUUAAUAGUUUUAGUUGUGUAUUUCGGGUUGUAUUCAGAACUAGCGGGUCGUCUGACAUAUUGGCGAGAUCCUCUUGCACCAUGCAGCACGAUUUUGGAUUCAUCUGUCCACAAAAUAUUUCUCCAUUUCUUAAGGGGCCAUUCCAAGUGAUCGUUUGCAAACUUAAGCCUUUGCGCUACAUGCUUCUUAGUCAGUAAUGGCACUUUUCUUGAGCUAUGAGCUGCUAAGUCCUGUUCCCGCAAACGUCUACGGGUAGUUUCCACGCUUGCUUCCAGCUGCAAGUCACUCUUGAUAUCAGUUGCAGGUGCGAAAGGAUUACUUUUCGAGUAUCUAACCACACGAUUGACUAAUUUAGCGGUCAUUGCGGGUGGCCGUCCACGAUCUUUAUCAGAUUAUCACAAAAAUUUAUGAAAAUACAUCAAAAAAUGCAUUACUUACCUUUUUGUAAAUCUUGGACACAAAUAAAUAUUUUUUAUGAAUUUUUCGGAAGCUCACUCCUUGUACUACUAUUAUUUUGACCGACUCAAUAGCCAACACAUUUGAAAGUAAAUGAAAUAACGACUCGUUAGCAGGUCUGUCUAUAUAACAUUAUAUUAAGGAGAAUAAAGGGCAAAGAAGAAAACGCGAAAAAAUAGAAACAUUUAACUAUGUACAGUUGUAGCACUACUAUUAUUAUGACCGCAACUGUAUGUGUUGAGUAUGUCCUAUAAAUUUCAAGUCAUUCGGUCAAGCCGUUUUUGAGAUACGAUGGAGGAAAGUUUGAAACACACAGUUUUGAGAAAAACGCGUUUAAAGUUUCAAGUCCAUUUAAAACUAUGACGUAACUGCCAACUCAGCGCUCCGAACAGCACUUGCUUCUACCUGCUGUAUCUUUAAAACGACUUGGAAUUUUCAAAAAUCCCUUUACUACCGUAUUCUAGACAUGUUAAGAUAGCAAUUUAUGAAAAAAAAAAUUUGAUUUUUUGAGCCCAUCACAUGAGAUGACCCCCUUAAAUUCUGAUUCGUAGAAGUAUGCUGCUCUCAGCCAGCGCUUAAAGUUUGAAUGCGGUGCGUUACAUAUAUGUAACAGUGGGCUUGAAUGGGUUAAAUGGAAUGCCUACUAUAAAUCGUCCAUCUGUUAAAUCACGUGUUGUCGUCUGUAUAUAAUUUUGUUCACAUAUGGCACCUUCUGGAGUACGCUCCUCUUCAUCCUUUUCCAUUUCCCAGAAUCUUUCUAAAUGUCCUUCCUGAUGGUUUAUUUGUUUCGGUUGUGGAAUUAUAAAGUUUGUUUUGUUGUUUCGAGUUAACUUCUCGAGAUAGUUAUCUUGUGAUUCUUGCAUAAAGUUCUGAGAACUGUACUGAUGUUACAGAAAUGAAUUUAAUUCCGACAAAUCUUGUAUUUCAGUCGGUUUACGAACGGUAUUUCGUAUUCUCGAAGUAGUGGCUGAAUGUGUAACAAUAUUGUUAUUACUCAAUGUACUUUCUAACAAACCUUACCACUGGAGGGGGGCAAUGACACGCGUAGCCGCUGUCUCUUAAUUCGGGUGAUACUGACCUAGACUUUCGUGGCAACCUCCUCCCCUUGAACGUCAUGAUGUAUUAAUGGUAAAGAUGCUAAAUCAUAGUGUUCACUUUAUCCUCUUCUAAUAUUUUUUUGUUGUUAUUUUAGUGAUAAAUAUGAAUUUUCUGUAAGGUUAUAAAAUUAGAGAUUUACCUGGAAUAUGUAUUUUCUCUGAAAGCUCCUGAAAUUUGUGGUCUCUCAGGUAGCUAUUUUUAUAAUUACAACUAAAUUAAUUAGUUUUUCUUGCAUUUUUUUAGAUCUUUGGUUUAUUUUCAAUGAACAGCUGAGCGCACUUUAGAAUGCGCCAUAACGGCAGUGCAUUACGAAAAAUUCCACAAUCUUAUAUUAAGGUAUAAAACCGAUUUUCUUGUAUAUACACAUUCAGCAAUCCAUAUCGAGUUGCUUCAAAUCAUUAACAUCAUCAUAUCAUUGGAUUUAAAUAAAAAUUUCCUUCACCAAACUCAAUAAAGAUUUUGUCAACCUUACCACUGGUGGGGGGAAAUGAACAAGUCUUUUGUUGAGUGAGAAAUCUUUCUUACUUCUUAAAUGGAAUGCCUACUAUAAAUCGCCCAUCUGUUAAAUCACGUGCUGUCGUCUGUAUAUAAUUUUGUUCGCAUAUGGCACCUUCUGGAGUAGGCUCCUCUUCAUCCUUUUCCAUUUCCCAGAAGCUUUCUAAAUGGCUUUCCUGAUGGUUUAUUUGUUUCGGUUGUGGAAUUAUAAAGUUUGUUUUGUUGUUUCGAGUUAACUUCUCGAGAUAGUUAUCUUGUGAUUCUUGCAUAAAGUUCUGAGAACUGUACUGAUGUUACAGAAAUGAAAUUAAUUCCGACAAAUCUUGUAUUUCAGUCGGUUUACGAACGAUAUUUCGUAUUCUCGAAGUAGUUUAGAAAAUUUUCUUAACACCAGCUGUGCUAACACGUCCUCUAAUGUUUUUUUUAUACCUCAUUAUACUGAUGCAUUCAUUUGUUACAUCCAAGAACUUUUUCGUUUUGUACGCUGACUCAUCCGUCAGUUGUGGUAUUUUUACUAGCCUCUCGAUAUUAUCGUUAAACUGUUUGUCGCGAGUAAAAAAAAAUCUAUAUAUUAUUCUAAGACAAGGCGCUUAUUUCCAGAGAUCUACAAAACGUACAGAGACAAAUAAUACAUCAAAUUAAAGUGUGCGAUCUGAAACUUUGCACAAAUUUUACAGAUUUUAAAUUCAUUGAACCGCUUUUGAUAUAUUUGCGUUUAAAGUUCUUCAAUUUUUACAUUUAGGGUGUUCACAGUUCUAUAUUAUCUGAUGUGUUAAUUUUGCCAUCUGUUAACUUCAAAACAUUUUACCACGUGGUAACUUUGUUUGUUGUUGUUUCCUAUACAAGUUCGAAAUAACAGUCUUAGGCAAAAUUACUCUACUUUACUUCGUGUUUUUGUUUCCUGGUAAAGUGGCAACUUUGAUCAGCUGACUAUUCGCGUUUAGAAAAAAUGGAAAGCAACACAGAAAUACAGAAGGUAAACGCAAUUCGCAAUAUUUUUAUAGCAAAUUAAUUUUUAAUUCUUGAAUAAAAAUGUCUCAUUUAAAUGGAAAGCAAAAUAUAUUGAACGCACUCAGCUACAAAUGUAUACUGGACAUAACCGCUAAUGAUUCUAGCAGUGACGAAGAGGAUGACGAUAUCCUAAUAAAAUUUGCCAUUGAUGCAGCGCUUAUUAUAGCUAAUCGGAGAAGUAACCAUUUGGGUAUACCAAAGUCUUCGCAAUGGGUCAAUAAUGUUCUUCCCAGAUUUGAUAGUGGCCGCAUGCGACAAAUGUUGCGCAUAGAAUUCUUUGAGUUCAACUAUAUAUUAUCCUUAAUCAAGCAAGACCCUGUUUUCCAAAACAAAAAUUUUGUUCCACAAUUACCAAUCGAUCUUCAACUAAAGAUAACACUUUUUCGUCUGGGAUCAAGUGGAGAGAGUGCCUCUAUUAGAAAGAUUGCAACAUUGUUCGGAAUAGGCGAUGGCGGAACAGUUACCAAAGUGACAGAGCGGGUUAUUACCGCAUUGAUUAAUUUAAAAUCUACAUUUUUAUAGUGGCCAUCUAGAGAAGAAAGGCGAAAGAUUGUCACAAAAACAAUGAAAGAGCUUCCAGGAUGUAUUGGCUAUGUUGACGGUACUGAAAUCAGAUUAGCAGAGUCGCCUUCAAAAGAUCACGAACUAUACUUCUCUCGCAAAAAACAGUAUGCCAUAAAAAUGCAAGUAGUAUGUGACUAUUCACUAAGAAUUAGACAAGCGACAA